AGCGAACGCUGGCGGCAGGCUUAACACAUGCAAGUCGAGCGGGCGUACGAAUACGUCAGCGGCAGACGGGUGAGUAACGCGUGGGAACGUACCUUUUGGUUCGGAACAACACAGGGAAACUUGUGCUAAUACCGGAUAAGCCCUUACGGGGAAAGAUUUAUCGCCGAAAGAUCGGCCCGCGUCUGAUUAGCUAGUUGGUGAGGUAACGGCUCACCAAGGCGACGAUCAGUAGCUGGUCUGAGAGGAUGAUCAGCCACAUUGGGACUGAGACACGGCCCAAACUCCUACGGGAGGCAGCAGUGGGGAAUAUUGGACAAUGGGGGCAAGCCUGAUCCAGCCAUGCCGCGUGAGUGAUGAAGGCCCUAGGGUUGUAAAGCUCUUUUGUGCGGGAAGAUAAUGACGGUACCGCAAGAAUAAGCCCCGGCUAACUUCGUGC
rnacentral:rRNA from 1 species